AUGCUCAUUCGCUCUUGGAAAGGAUCUGACCGGACUCUGACCAGACUGGCCACGGAACACAGAAAUCCAAGGGAAAGCCUCCUGACAGGAACCGGCCUCAACUUUUCAUUUCCUCUCCCAAGCUGGAAACACUGGAGGUCGCAAGUCCCCGGGCAGGAGCGCACGACCGGGCCUCAGCUCCUGGCACCCACCAUUCUGCUGGAGGUCUGUCUGAGUUGGACCCUUCUAGAUCUCUGAUAUCACUUGUUCCAGAGGAAGCCAGCCGCCAUGAUGUGAAGACAUACAAAGGGCCCUAAGAAGAGGACCAUGUAGGGACAAUGACUUUCCAGGCAUAUGAGGGAGCCAUGUUGGAAGAUGACCCCAGCCUCCAUCAAGUCUUCAGAUGAAACUGCAGCCCCAGAUGACACCCCGAGCCUCAUAAGAGACCCUGAGCCAGAACCAUCCAGCUGAGCUGCCCCCAGAUUCCUCACCCUAGAAACUAGGUGAGAUAAUAAAUAAUUGUUCUAGACCACCAGAGAGUAAUCAAUUAUGCAGCAAUAUAGAACUGACACACGGUUCAUGAACAUAGGCUUUCUGUUGAAAUAAAACUCUUCUAGAUCUCUAAUUCAAGUCUUUCUAGUCAGUUUCAAGAUCUAUUCCUGUUAACUUCUUGC
rnacentral:lncRNA from 1 species